AGAGCGAACGCUGGCGGCGUGCCUAACACAUGCAAGUCGCACGAGAAAGGGGAGCAAUCCCUGAGUAAAGUGGCGCACGGGUGAGUAACACGUGAAUAAUCUACCUCCGAGUGGGGAAUAACUGAGAGAAAUCUUAGCUAAUACCGCAUAACACUUACGAGUCAAAGCAGCAAUGCGCUUGGGGAGGAGGUCGCGGCCGAUUAGCUAGUUGGCGGGGUAAUGGCCCACCAAGGCGAUGAUCGGUA
rnacentral:rRNA from 1 species